UAGAAUCUGGAAGUAAGGCCGAAAAAGGUUUGGAUUUGCUGAGACUAAAAUGGCUGUAUAUACUAUGUGAUGUGUUAUAUUAUGUGGGGGGCCUUUCUUAUGUUUUUUAUUUUAUCUAUUUUGUUCAUGUACAAUACCCGUCCAAUAUAUAUAUAUAUAUAUAUAUAUAUAUUCAGAGAGCUUCCAUUGAGGGAUCUCUCAAAUAAUUGUAGGCCCCAUU
rnacentral:lncRNA from 1 species